CCUACGGGAGUCUGCAGUGGGGAAUAUUGGACAAUGGGCGAAAGCCUGAUCCAGCCAUGCCGCGUGUGUGAAGAAGGCCUUCGGGUUGUAAAGCACUUUCAGUGGGGAAGAAAGCCUUGGGGCUAAUACCCUCGAGGAAGGACAUCACCCACAGAAGAAGCACCGGCUAACUCCGUGCCAGCAGCCGCGGUAAUACGGAGGGUGCGAGCGUUAAUCGGAAUUACUGGGCGUAAAGCGCGCGUAGGCGGUCUGAUAAGCCGGUUGUGAAAGCCCCGGGCUCAACCUGGGAACGGCAUCCGGAACUGUCAGGCUAGAGUGAAGGAGAGGAAGGUAGAAUUCCCGGUGUAGCGGUGAAAUGCGUAGAGAUCGGGAGGAAUACCAGUGGCGAAGGCGGCCUUCUGGACUGACACUGACGCUGAGGUGCGAAAGCGUGGGUAGCAAACAGGAUUAGAUACCCUUGUAGUC
rnacentral:rRNA from 1 species